rnacentral:tRNA from 1 species
GCGGGUUUGGCGCAGCUGGUAGUCGCGUAGGUCUCAUAAUCCUAAGGUCGUGAGUUCGAUCCUCACAACCCGCA